GCCUUAGUGUCCGUUUCACUAUACGCGUACGCGUGUCCGUUUUACAUCAUAGUUUAAACCUCGGUUGUAGAUUUUACUGUCUGAAUUCGGCGGUUUAACUAAUUGUACAGACGUUGUCAGAUAAAUUCAAAAUUGAGACGGUGGCUGCGGCGCUUUUCAGUAGUAACAUUGAAAUACGGAGAACCACGGUUAUAAAGAAAUUUCGCAUGACAAUUUACAAAAUAGUCUACUUUGACGUCAAUAGUUUGCAAAAUCCUGCUAAAGAGAAAAAGUAUAGAACGACUUAAAGUACAUAAGCUGUGCGCUCUGUGUGUGCACGAAUCAAAACAUUCUAGUGAAAGUUCAAAAGCUCUGAAUAAAUUAUUUGAUGGAAUCUUCAGCCUUCCUCUAGACAUAAAUAUUGUCCAACUCAUUGUGUCUAUGUCGUGUGUGCCUAUUAAAUGGGGAAAUUUGUCAGAAAACCUAUUUGCUAUAAUAUAACCAGUUACAUAUUGUGCACAAUGCUCCUCAAUGCUAUCAUAUGGUUCUUCAAUAUCUACCUAAAAUACAUAUGUAGGUCAUAAUUUUAUUAAAACAUAUUAUUAUGUUCUACUGUGAUGUAUGAUAAAUAAUUUAUAACUAGGUUAAAAUAUGGUGUUGAUUGAUGUGUUAAGCAAUCAUUCACUUCCAAUAAAUUUGUUUCAAUGCUGCAAUUGCUCCGAAUUAGUGUUGCUAAUGAAUACUACAUUUGAAUUAUUCUUAAUAUGAACCAUCUUAAGCCAAAGGGAUAAAAAAUUUAUUACAAUGCAACACAGGACUCACGUCAAACAAUUGGAGCAACUACCAUCGGAAUCAGAAUAUAAUUGAAACAGGAGAUGAUAUUACCUCAAACUUAAUAUAUUGAUAUGGGUCUUUUAUAAAAUAGAAAAUACUUAUAAUUAAUUUAAUUUUUAUGUAAGUAUACCAUUAAUAUUUUUUAUUUUCCUAAUAAAAAAUUCGGUAUUCAUCGCACUCAAUAAAUUUGAUAUUCAUGUUACACAUUUGAGUCAUUUACCAUUAGAAUAAUAUUUAAAUGGAGAAUAAAUACAAUUUUAUUUUAUAAAGAUUAUGUGUAUUUGUGAUUUUUAAAAAUUAAAAACAUUGUUCUU